CCCGAAAUUAGUAUUACAAAUACGUUAUCAUAUACUUUUCAUUUCCACAUACAUCUAUCUCUUAAAUAAAUUGAUGGUAUUGGAAACACUCAUCAUAUGCAAAUUAUUCCACUAAUUCCACUAAUUCCACUAAACACUCUUUACACUCAUCAUUGCCGGCCAUCUUCUACACUCAUUCCACUAAAUAAUCAUUAUUCCACUACCUCCCCACUACUACACCCUUUUUCCCCACCAAUACACCUAACUCUCCACACACUUCAUUUUUUUAUUUCUCCACCACUAUAUUCCAUAUUCAGCACUACAUCUUGCAGAUUCCUCAUUAAGAAAUCCUCUCUCUCUAAUCUUCUAAAUUACCAUUUUCUUUCCUCCUACUCCUCACGGGUCCUUCAAAGAAAUUAUCAAGUUUGUUUCAAGUUCCAAAUCAAGAAUCAAGAAGCCACAAAUCCUCAUCUGCCUCUUCAAGGUCCGGGCGACAGAAAGUGAAGCAGAAGAAGAAACGAUUCCACGCCAGCUUUAAGAACAAUUGAGGUUGAGCAGGCGAUGGAAUGGAUCGGUGUUGAGCGGAUUUCCCUUUUGAUGUUAUGUAAUGAAACCUUGAGUAUGCAUCUCCAUAUGCAUAACUCACACGUUUUUCCGCUGCAAACACUCUGAAUUUGUUAUCGUAUUGUGGAACUUAUUACUCCUUCAUUUUGUUUAACUUUCAUUUGGGGUUUAGUCGUUAUGGCUGGCUCGUUUGUUAAUUACCCAAGUGGUGAUAUAUAUAUAUAUACCACUAGUUUGUUGUUA